CAGGCACUGAAACCCAAGGAUUACCGUUUGUGGUAGCAGCAAUUCAAACAAACGUGCAACAGCAAACAGAUCUCUUCGCCUUUGGAGGCUGUGCCUUUGCCCCUCAAAGUGAAACGAGAGGUUCUACACCC